rnacentral:rRNA from 1 species
UUGAACGCUGGCGGCAUGCCUUACACAUGCAAGUCGAACGGUAACAGGUUAAGCUGACGAGUGGCGAACGGGUGAGUAAUAUAUCGGAACGUGCCCAGUUGUGGGGGAUAACUACUCGAAAGAGUGGCUAAUACCGCAUGAGACCUGAGGGUGAAAGCGGGGGAUCGCAAGACCUCGCGCAAUUGGAGCGGCCGAUAUCAGAUUAGCUAGUUGGUGGGGUAAAAGCCCACCAAGGCCACGAUCUGUAGCUGGUCUGAGAGGACGACCAGCCACACUGGGACUGAGACACGGCCCAGACUCCUACGGGAGGCAGCAGUGGGGAAUUUUGGACAAUGGACGAAAGUCUGAUCCAGCCAUGCCGCGUGCGGGAAGAAGGCCUUCGGGUUGUAAACCGCUUUUGUCAGGGAAGAAACGGCUCGCUCUAAUACAGUGGGCUAAUGACGGUACCUGAAGAAUAAGCACCGGCUAACUACGU